GGAAUAUUGGACAAUGGGCGCAAGCCUGAUCCAGCCAUGCCGCGUGAGUGAUGAAGGCCCUAGGGUUGUAAAGCUCUUUCAACGGUGAAGAUAAUGACGGUACCCGCAGAAGAAGCCCCGGCUAACUUCGUGCCAGCAGCCGCGGUAAUACGAAGGGGGCUAGCGUUGCUCGGAAUUACUGGGCGUAAAGCGCACGUAGGCGGACUUUUAAGUCGGGGGUGAAAUCCCGGAGCUCAACUCCGGAACUGCCUCCGAAACUGGAAGUCUUGAGUUCGGGAGAGGUGAGUGGAACUGCGAGUGUAGAGGUGAAAUUCGUAGAUAUUCGCAAGAACACCAGUGGCGAAGGCGGCUCACUGGCCCGAUACUGACGCUGAGGUGCGAAAGCGUGGGGAGCAAAC
rnacentral:rRNA from 1 species